rnacentral:rRNA from 1 species
GUCUAUGGCCAUACCACCCUGCGCAUGCCCAAUCUCAUCUGAUCAUGGAAGCUAAGCAGAGUCGGUCCUGGCUAGUACUUCGAUGGGAGAAAAGAGUGUGAAGAACAAACCCUACAGAGC